UACGAAGGGUGCAAGCGUUAAUCGGAAUUACGGGGCGUAAAGGGUGCGUAGGCGGUUCGUUAAGUCUGUCGUGAAAUCCCCGGGCUCAACCUGGGAAUGGCGAUGGAUACUGGCGAGCUAGAGUGUGUCAGAGGAUGGUGGAAUUCCCGGUGUAGCGGUGAAAUGCGUAGAGAUCGGGAGGAACAUCAGUGGCGAAGGCGGCCACCUGGGACAACACUGACGCUGAAGCACGAAAGCGUGGGGAGCAAACAGG
rnacentral:rRNA from 1 species